GAACCGAGCGAACGUUGUUCGGAAUCACUGGGCUUAAAGGGCGCGUAGGCGGGCUGUCAAGUCUGGGGUGAAAUCCCGCGGCUCAACCGUGGAACUGCCUCAGAUACUGACGGCCUCGAGGGAGGUAGGGGCGAGCGGAACUAAUGGUGGAGCGGUGAAAUGCGUUGAUAUCAUUAGGAACUCCGGUGGCGAAGGCGGCUCGCUGGACCUUUUCUGACGCUGAGGCGCGAAAGCUAGGGGAGCAAACGGGAUUAGAUACCCCGGUAGUCCUAGCCCUAAACGUUGGGUACUAGGUAGUAGACUAGACAUGGGUUUACUGCCGAAGCAAAAGUGCUAAGUACCCCGCCUGGGGAGUAUGGUCGCAAGGCUGAA
rnacentral:rRNA from 1 species